rnacentral:ncRNA from 1 species
UGAAGGGCAAACUUGCCGAAAGGCAAGGACGCAAAGUCGGAGGGUCUAAGUCGCACGGUGAUAGGACAGCCGGUUGCUA